rnacentral:rRNA from 1 species
UACGGAGGUGCAAGCGUUAUCCGGAUUCACUGGGUUUAAAGGGUGCGUAGGUGGGCAGGUAAGUCCGUGGUGAAAUCUCUGAGCUUAACUCAGAAACCUGCCGUGGAUACUAUUUGUCUUGAAUGUUGUGGAGGUGAGCGGAAUAUGUCAUGUAGCGGUGAAAUGCUUAGAUAUGACAUAGAACACCAAUUGCGAAGGCAGCUCACUACACAAUUAUUGACGCUGAGGCACGAAAGCGUGGGGAUCAAACAGG